rnacentral:rRNA from 1 species
GAUGAACGCUGGCGGCGUGCCUAAUACAUGCAAGUCGAGCGAACAGACGAGGAGCUUGCUCCUCUGACGUUAGCGGCGGACGGGUGAGUAACACGUGGAUAACCUACCUAUAAGACUGGGAUAACUUCGGGAAACCGGAGUUAAUACCGGAUAAUGUAUUGAACCGCAUGGUUCAAUAGUGAAAGACGGUUUUGCUGUCACUUAUAGAUGGAUCCGCGCCGCAUUAGCUAGUUGGUAAGGUAACGGCUUACCAAGGCAACGAUGCGUAGCCGACCUGAGAGGGUGAUCGGCCACACUGGAACUGAGACACGGUCCAGACUCCUACGGGAGGCAGCAGUAGGGAAUCUUCCGCAAUGGGCGAAAGCUUGACGGAGCAACGCCGCGUGAGUGAUGAAGGUCUUCGGAUCGUAAAACUCUGUUAUUAGGGAAGAACAAAUGUGUAAGUAACUAUGCACGUCUUGACGGUACCUAAUCAGAAAGCCACGGCUAACUACGUG